UUGGUCCUGUGCAAAGAAUCUCGCCACUUACAAGCAAUAAUCAAGCCAGAAGGUGCUUUGCCACUGCUGCUACUGGUGCAUUCAGGCUCUUGAAGAUGCUGAAGUAGAUUAGAAAGAUAGUUGACAAUCUUUUAGGGGACUAUAAUUGGAGUAUAAUUGCUUCAGUUUUACUGCUCUAUCUUACUACCGUUUUGGUUAUAGGUUAAACUGUCUCGGCAGAUUUCAUUGCAUUACUGUAAAAUCACUCGAUGUUUUCAUCUGCUGUGAAUACAAUGACCGAUAUAUAAUUGCUCCUCUGCAUUUCGAUGGGAAUAUUAGUUGUUUGAUUUGUUUUGUGGAUCUACAGUUCUUGACGAUGACACUUGCUUGAACAAAGACCAGGUUGUUUGGUCUCUCAUUUUUCUCAGAGCAAUAUUCUACUAUGUGAAGUGAAGUUGUAAAUAAACUAUUCUAUGAAAUCUGUUUUGACCAGUCACAAGUUUGUUGUUUUGUAAAAUAUGUUCUUAUGAUAUGCAAGUCAUGUAUUUGCCAAUAAAAAAUGGGAUGUACUGUAUUUUG